UGGAUCUCGGCCAGCAGCAUAUUC
rnacentral:misc_RNA from 1 species